CCUACGGGUGGCAGCAGUGGGGAAUAUUGGGCAAUGGGCGCAAGCCUGACCCAGCAACGCCGCGUGAAGGAAGAAGGCCCUCGGGUUGUAAACUUCUUUUAACAGGGACGAAGAAAGUGACGGUACCUGUUGAAUAAGCCACGGCUAACUACGUGCCAGCAGCCGCGGUAAUACGUAGGUGGCAAGCGUUAUCCGGAUUUAUUGGGUGUAAAGGGCGUGUAGGCGGGAAAGCAAGUCAGAUGUGAAAACUCAGGGCUCAACCCUGAGCCUGCAUUUGAAACUGCCAUACUGGAGUGCCGGAGAGGUAAGUGGAAUUCCUAGUGUAGCGGUGAAAUGCGUAGAUAUUAGGAGGAACACCAGUGGCGAAGGCGGCUUACUGGACGGUAACUGACGCUGAGGCUCGAAAGCGUGGGGAGCAAACAGGAUUAGAUACCCCGGUAGUC
rnacentral:rRNA from 1 species